AGUGAACGCUGGCGGUAGGCCUAACACAUGCAAGUCGAACGGCAGCACAGUAAGAGCUUGCUCUUACGGGUGGCGAGUGGCGGACGGGUGAGGAAUACAUCGGAAUCUACUUUUUCGUGGGGGAUAACGUAGGGAAACUUACGCUCAUACCGCAUACGACCUACGGGUGAAAGCAGGGGAUCUUCGGACCUUGCGCGAUUGAAUGAGCCGAUGUCGGAUUAGCUAGUUGGCGGGGUAAAGGCCCACCAAGGCGACGAUCCGUAGCUGGUCUGAGAGGAUGAACAGCCACACUGGAACUGAGACACGGUCCAGACUCCGACGGGAGGCAGCAGUGGGGAAUAUUGGACAAUGGGCGCAAGCCUGAUCCAGCCAUACCGCGUGGGUGAAGAAGGCCUUCGGGUUGUAAAGCCCUUUUGUUGGGAAAGAAAAGCAGCAGGUUAAAACCCCGCUGUUCUGACGGAACCCAAAGAAUAAGCACCGGCUAACUUCGU
rnacentral:rRNA from 1 species